GAUGAAGAACGCAGCGAAAUGCGAUAAGUAAUGCGAAUUGCAGAAUUCAGUGAAUCAUCGAAUCUUUGAACGCACAUUGCGCCCGCUAGUAUUCUGGCGGGCAUGCCUGUCUGAGCGUCAUUUCAACCCUCGCCCCCGGCUUUUGCUGGGAGCGGUGUUGGGGAUCGGCCGCCCGUCACUGGGAGGCCGGCCCCGAAAUAGAGUGGCGACCACGCCGUGUGCUCCUCUGCGUAGUAGUAAAUCACCUCGCAGGCGGACAGCGGUGCGGCCUGCCGUAAAACCCCCAACUCUUUCUGGUUGACCUCAGAUCAGGUAGGAAUACCCGCUGAACUUAAGCAUAUCAAUAACGGAGGA
rnacentral:misc_RNA from 1 species